rnacentral:rRNA from 1 species
AACAAACGCUGGCGGCGUGCCUAAUACAUGCAAGUCGAACGGGGAAAGUAGCAAUAUGAGUACUAGUGGCGCACGGGUGAGCAACGCGUGGGUAAUCUGCCUUAGAGUGGGGGAUAACCAGUCGAAAGAUUGGCUAAUACCGCAUAAGACCACAGGAUCUGCGGAUCUAGGGGUAAAAGGUUUUUCGCUCUAAGAUGAGCCCGCGUGAGAUUAGCUAGUUGGUAGGGUAACGGCCUACCAAGGCGACGAUCUCUAGCUGGUCUGAGAGGAUGAUCAGCCACAAUGGAACUGAGACACGGUCCAGACUCCUACGGGAGGCAGCAGUAGGGAAUAUUGCACAAUGGAGGAAACUCUGAUGCAGCGACGCCGCGUGAGUGAUGAAGGACUUCGGUUCGUAAAGCUCUGUCGUACGGGAAUAAGAAAGUGAAUGUACCGUGCAAGAAAGGAUCGGCUAACUUCGUGCCAGCAGCCGCAGUAA